UACGACCAGAUCACGUUGAAACACGGGUUCUCGUUCGAUCACCGAAGUUAAGCAAGGUCGAGUAUGAUCUUUACCUAGAUGGGUAACCGCUUGGAAAUACCAAAUGCUGUAA